AUGAACGCCAGCGGGAGGCCUAACACAUGCAAGCCGAGCGGUAUAAUUCUUUCGGGAAUUAGAGAGCGGCGCACGGGUGCGGAACACGUGUGCAACCUGCCUUUAUCUGGGGGAUAGCCUUCCGAAAGGGAGAUUAAUACCCCAUAAUAUAUUGACUGGCAUCAGUUAAUAUUGAAAACUCCGGUGGAUAGAGAUGGGCACGCGCAAGAUUAGAUAGUUGGUGAGGUAACGGCUCACCAAGUCAGUGAUCUUUAGGGGGCCUGAGAGGGUGAUCCCCCAGACGCGAACUGAGACAAGGACCAGACUCCUACGGGAGGCAGCAGUGAGGAAUAUUGGACAAUGGGUGAGAGCCUGAUCCAGCCAUCCCGCGUGAAGGACGACGGCCCUAUGGGUUGUAAACUUCUUUUGUACAGGGAUAAACCUAGAUACGUGUAUCUAGCUGAAGGUACUGUACGAAUAAGCACCGGCUAACUCCGUGCCAGCCGCCGCGGUAAUAC
rnacentral:rRNA from 1 species